AACGAACGCUGGCGGCAGGCCUAACACAUGCAAGUCUAGCGAACCCUUCGGGGUUAGCGGCGGACGGGUUAGUAACGCGUGGGAACGUGCCCAAAGGUACGGAAUAGCCUCGGGAAACUGAGAGUAAUACCGUAUGUGCCCCUCGGGGGAAAGAUUUAUCGCCUUUGGAUCGGCCCGCGUUGGAUUAGGUAGUUGGUGGGGUAAUGGCCUACCAAGCCGACGAUCCAUAGCUGGUUUGAGAGGGUGAUCAGCAACACUGGGACUGAGACACGGCCCAGACUCCUACGGGAGGCAGCAGUGGGGAAUCUUAGACAAUGGGCGCAAGCCUGAUCUAGCCAUGCCGCGUGGACGAUGAAGGCCUUAGGGUUGUAAAGUCCUUUCAGAUGGGAAGAUAAUGACGGUACCAUCAGAAGAAGCCCCCGGCUAACUCCGUG
rnacentral:rRNA from 1 species